CUACGGGAGGCAGCAGUAAGGAAUUUUAGACAAUGGGCGAAAGCCUGAUCUAGCAACGCCGCGUGGACGAUGAAGGCCUUCGGGUCGUAAAGUCCUUUUCUGUGGGAAGAUCGUGACGGUACCACAGGAAUAAGCAUCGGCUAACUACGUGCCAGCAGCCGCGGUAAUACGUAGGAUGCAAGCGUUGUCCGGAUUUAUUGGGCGUAAAGAGUGCGUAGGCGGCUUCUUAAGUGGGGCGUGAAAUCCCCCGGCUAAACCGGGGAGGGUCGUCCUAAACGGGGGGGCUUGAGGGUGGAAGAAGAGAGCGGAAUUCCCGGUGUAGGGGUGAAAGGCGUAGAUAUCGGGAGGAACACCCGUGGCGAAGGCGGCCUUCUGGGCCUACCCUGACGCUGAGGCGCGAAAGCGGGGGGAGCGAACCGGAUUAGAUCCCCGGGUAGU
rnacentral:rRNA from 1 species